rnacentral:lncRNA from 1 species
GUACGUACUGUGUUUUUUGAAUUGGCUUUGGUUUUUGGGUUUGUAAGGGUUUUGCCCUUACCUGUGAACUUCUAGAACUAUUAUUAACGUUAAUAUAGAAAUUACGUGUACGUUGUGGGGGUGGGUAGUAAUUUCGGGGUCUACUGUUGUAUUUAUAAUCCCCCAUCAGACGUUGUCCCUCGCGCCUUGUCAUGCCACGUCUGUAGAGCCCCCGUUGCUGUAGAUCCCUCAUCAUUCGUCUAUCCCGCAUCAUUUGUCUAUCUGCGUCUCUUCUUCGCAUAGCUCUUCUUCUUCGAGCUUGUCUUCUUUUUUUUUUGUUUCGCACCCCCUCAUAGAUUAACCAGGGUAGAAUCCCCCCGUCUUGUUUUUUGGAUUUACUUCGUUGAUGUUUACCCCCCUUAAAGUUACCGCCACUUUGCAUCAUGAAUCGCCCACAAACUGUCGUCGUUUGUAAUGGAAAGUGUAUACG